GAGAGAGCAUGAGUCGGGGAGGGGCAGAGAGAGGGAGACACAGAAUCUGAAGCAGGCUCCAGGCUCCGCGUGUAGGGCCUGAGGUGGGGCUCGAACCCAUGGACUGAGAGAACAUGACCUGAGCCCAAGUCAGAUGCUUAACCGACUGAGCCACCCAGAUGCCCAGGUUUUCAGGUUUUAGAGAUUGCUUUUUACUCAUUUUAUAUUUGUUUAACUUGUGUAAAACAUUUCUAUUGAUCCAAAGUCAAAAUACGUAGCCAGGUAGUUUCUUUUUUAGUCUGAUUUUUUAAAUCACGUAAAAUGUAAUGUUUAAUAUCAAUAUCGUUAGAGAAGCUUCAGUUCCAUCUCCCCACCCUGUUCCCUCCCUUCCUCUAUGAUAACCAUUUUCAUUACUUUUGGGGUUAUCCUUCCAUUGUUUCUUUUGGAAAAUACAAAUACGUCUUUAUAUGUAUUUUAUAUGCAUCCUGACAUCUAUCUGUUACACCCUUUCUGGUACAAAAGUUACCAUACUAAGCACUGCUGUAUAUUGCUACAAGCAAGGAUUUUUAUUUAUCCCUGUAGAGAAUGUUGCUUGACUUGCCUGGGAUGUGUUCUUAAAGACGCCUCAGGUGAGGCUGACACAAGUGUACAAAUGAGUGGAGGUGGGGGCUCCGCCCGGAUCCCUGCCUCUAUAUGCUGCUGGACUCCAUUACAUGAGACAUCAAGAAAUCUGAGGGUCAAGGUUAGCCAUCUAACUUCUGUAGUUCUUACUUGUCAAAAUACCUAUGGGUAAAAAUCACAUGUGGAUAAAUUUGUUACUUUUUAUUGUAAAAAUUUCCAAACAUAAUAAAAAGAUAGAAGACACAAUAAACAAUGGCAUCAUCACCCAGUUUCGCCACACCUGUUUCAUCUAGCUCAACCUAUUUUUGCUGAAGUUGUAGCCCAAACCCCACGUAAUAAGUCAUUUCACUCUUACGUCCAUCUUUUUUAAAAAGGUGGGAGGUGGGGGCCGGGGGCAGAGCACUUUCUCGCUAAACUACAGGGCCACAAUCACACCUAUUACAAAUAACAUGAACGUGUUGAUUUCACGGACUAUCAAAUCCAAAUUUAUAUUUCUCUUGUUAUCUAAAACAAAAAGAAAACCCCACCAACUGCCUUUGCCGUUCGUUCAAAUCAGUGUCUGAACAAAGUCCACUCACUGUCUGGGGAGCCUGCUCUGGGACAGGAACUGAGAAAACAUGAGCCCAAAGCCCUCUGGGUGUCUGAAAACAAACUGCAAAGCCUCGUGAGAUACCGACCCCAGAUCCUCAGGGUCGUUGAAAACACCUGUGUUCCCCCUGGAACUUCCCCCAGUUGAACAUUUUCAAUUCCUUCCAUUGUUUCUCUGUGAUAUGGUUUCUUUCCUCCUUCCCUGUCUUUUCCUGUCUGUAUGCUCCAGGUGGUUACUGUCCCUAGCGGACACAUUAUAAGCAGAUGGUCUCCUCAGUCAUCAAUCCUCAGAUCAGCUCUGGUGUCCCCACUUUAGAGAUAAGGAAAGCUAAUAACUUCUUGGGGGGGGGGUGACUUGGUCUUGAGCUCAGUUAUUAGUUGUAAAUUCCAGAGCUAGGCCAACAACUCAUAGCUUUGCCUGAUUCUUCUUUUUGGAACACAAACAAGCCUUUCUGGUUCUAAGGAUCCUUUGGUUCCUACCCAAACCCUGUUUUACCACACGGUCAUCUGUGAAUAUCUAGGUACCCAUCCAGCAGUGUGUGGUUAAGAGCUGAGGUCCUAGAGUCUGGGAAGCAUGGCUUAGUGAUUAGAUGCACUAACUCUGCAGCUAGGCUUUCCAAGUUCAAAUUCCAAGUCUACCGACUUGGUAGGACUUGGACAAUUUAUGUAAACUGUGUCUCCAUUUGUUUCUCUGUAGUGGUGACAAAACCAACCUCAUUAGGCUGUUGUGAAGGUUAAGUAAAUUAAUGCUUGUAAGGCUCAGGAUAUGGCACCUGAUGCAGUGUUGUACAUGUUUGGUGUUGUUAUUCUGCGUUCACCACUCAGGUGUGCGAGACCUUGAGUGCAUCAUCCAGUUGGACUAUGUCUCCGAAUGCCUUAUCUCUUAACUUGGCAGUCACAAGGGAGCUUACUAAGAGGAAUAAUGUGAAAAUUAGGAGACAAUUCACCACAAGCUAAAAGGAGAGCGUCUGGUACAUAAUAGGCACUCAACAAUUAUUAGUUAUUAUUAAUUUGGCACUUUAUACUUAUCGUGGUACAGAUCCGAGGCCAGAAAGUCGGGUGUGCCAGAAAUAAUGGCAUCUCUUUAUUUUCAAUAAGUCACCUAGAUUUCGUCUCCCAGCUCAGUCAUUCUUGGUUUUUCUUCCCCGAGUCCUCCAUAGUUUGUACAAGGGAUCUUAUGAAAUGCUUAGGUUUCCAGAGGGUCCUGCUGGUCAUCAGCCCCCCCAUCCACUCGGAUGGCCAUUGUCUUUGACUAGGAGUCUCUGCCAUUUCUCUGCCACAGUGGGGCCCAAGGUCUUAGCCAAGCCCGUGGGCCCCUGCCCAGGGCCAAGUCUCCUGGUGCGUCAUUUCCAGCCACAGCCUCGGAAGACUCCUGGGACCCACUGAUCUGUCUCUUACCUCCUGCCUAAAUCCCUGGAGAUCUCUUCUUAACCCAGAGGAAAGUCUUUUGUUCUCAAACCCUGUUCACCUCAAUGGGCUUUAGAAGCAAAAGUCUAGGCACAAGUCUCUCCAGAAACAGAAACGCAGGACCAGCCCCAUGCCUGAGUGGGAGGAGGGAAGGGCAACAAUCGGGGGAAACAUCCUACCUCACCAUCUCACAAAGCCCUCUCCUCCCCACAUCUGUCAGUGGGAGCCACUGCACGGACAGGGGCUCACCUUACAGUCACCAAGAGAGCGACUCCCAAGUGCCAGGCACUGGGACGAGCUCUGGAAGAAAACAAAGAGCCAACCUACCUAUGAACACAGCCCUCCAGCUCUUUCCCUAGAGGACUCAUUCUCAAGCAGGGGUGACGUGGGCCCCCAGGGGGCAUCUGGCCAUAUCUGGAGACAUUUUUGAUUGUCACAACUGGAGGGGGGCUACAGAUACUGGCAUCUAGUGGGUAGAGGCUGGAGGUGCUGCUAACACCCUCCAAUGCACAGGACAGUGCUCUGCAGCAAAGAAUGACACGGCACCAAAUGUCAAUAGUGACGAGGAUGGGACAGGACAACUGUCACGCAAGGUAGAAGAGAAUAAUGAGAUGAUUGUCCCAGAGGCUUAUCCAACAGAAAUCACUGAAGGGACACUCUCUAACCAGAAAGAAUAUUCCAGGGAGUCUUUUUUUUUUUUAAUCACAGAGGGCUGGCUGGGAUAAGAAGGAGCCGAAACUUUAACUCAGAGUCCUUUCCAUACAACUUGAGACAUCGGUGGUCUAGAAGAGAUGUGGAGAGCUAACCCUAGCCAACUCCCUCAGGCCUGGCAAACCAAGCUAGAGCAGGCUCCUGUCAUAAGGUCUGGGGCCAGAGGAGCGCCUUCAUUGCGCCUUCAUGGGACAGCUGGGGACUGCCCUUCUCCAACUCAGGUCUGUGAUGGUGUCAUCCCCUCAGUGACCAGCGCCCAGGACACUCAGAUGAGGAAACCAUUCCCGAAGGUUCUUGAUCCUGGCCUCGCAGCAAGUUUCCCAUGAGAUUCUGAGAGCUUUAAGGAAGGGCCUGUGUAGGGUUUUUUUUUGUUUUUUUUUUUUUUUUUACUCUACAGGUAAUUCUAAUGUGUAGGCAGGUUGGGAGAUUUGUUUUGCCAAAAAAAUCAUGUCUCAUUUCUUUUGCUGUGGAACAUAAUUCAGAACAAUUUCCACGACGGCUGCCUUGGGUAGGAGAGGAAGAGUGGGUAGAGGACGGAGCAUUUACGUUGUGUCUGGAAAGGCCAGUGGGACCUGGCUCAGCAGAGUGGGGAAAUUCUUCUCUGAUGACCUUGACCACAGAGGCGAUGGGGUUAAAACCAUGGGAUGGGGUAAUGCCUUGUUUCAAAUUUCAACCAUUAAAGGGAUCCUGUUACCCAAGGUAUGAAAAUCUGUGUUUAGAAAAUAGAUCACGUCAAGAGGUGAUUAUCCACUUUCAUUUUUAACCUCUUCUAAGACAUGGAAAAUAACGUUCAAUCUCCAGAAAAACAGCAUUCUUAAUGACAGAUCAGUCAAGAACUUCAAGGGUCUACUUCCUGCUUUGGUUGUGGGUGAUGGGAGGCCUCACCCCACCGUCUCAAACAUCCUGGCAGGCUUCUCUCUGAGGCCACCCCCAGCCCCUGAGCCAUCUGAAGCCACUGUCUUCUCUGAUGGCAUCAGCUGCCGGCUCUGUGCUGCUGACUCUCACUGUUCCCUGGAUGACCUUUCUCCAGCCCAGCUACUCUGCUCCCUCCUGGGUAGAGAACAUUCUCAAACGCAACAUGUCAACAAACACUGAAUCAUUCCCCUGUCCGGUCUCCCAAGUGGUAUUUUCUAUCUCCAUGACUAGCAGGCAAAUCCACAUUCCUCCCUCUCCCUCACCACCCCCACUUGCCAAGAGCCACUCAUUCCAGAGGGUUCUCUGUCCUUAACAUUCCCUGUUCCAGUCCUGUGCCAUCCUUCUCCAAUGCCUCCAUGCUGGCUCAGGACAUGAUCACUUCACUCACACCUCGACUGUGGCCAUAGUCUCUUAUGUGGCCCUCUGGGUCCACUCCCAUUCCCUUCGGCCUUAUUCUCUACUUAGAAACUAGGGUGAUCUUUCGAAAACACCAAUGAUGAGUUUAUGAUGUGUGGAACAUUUACUAUGUGUGAGUCACCGUCCUGAGCUCUUUACAAGCAUAAUCUCUUAAAAAAUCUCCCUAAAAACUGUAUAAAAAAAGAUACCUUCACUAUCCCCAUUUCACAGAUAUGGAAACUGGGACACAGGGAGGUUAAGUAUCUUGUCUGGGGUCACACAGCCAUUAAAAGGGAAAGCUCCAAUGCUACUCUCUGGUUUAGAAUCCUUCAGUGGCUCCCCACGUAUUGACCUUCAGGGCAGGAUGCACACUUUGAGUUUGGCCUCAGAAUUCUCUGUGACCUAGGCUGUGCCUCUCUGUCUGGAUUUAUCACUCACCGCGCUUCCCCCUGACCCCCUGGGUCUCCAGCCUCGUGGAGCUGCCUACUCACCGUGCCCAUGCCACGUGCUGCUCUGUCUUCAUUCAAGUUGUUUUCUCCCUAAGAUGCCUUCCCCAUCCAGUCUGUGUGACAGACACAGUUCUCAGGGUUCAGCUUAAAGGAUGCCUCCUCCACGAAACCUUUCCAGAAUGUGUCCUGCCCCCACUGCUUGCAGAACUGACCUCUUACUCCCUUGGGCUUGGCUGUAACCAGGCUAUGCAUUAUGACUUUGUCACCAGCAGUGACUAGCACCACGUGCUAGUGGUCUAUGGAUAUCACUAUGGGUGCUGUGGCCUCAUUAAUUCAUGCUGCCUGGAGACGGUGUUUCUCACUGUCUCAGUGGCGUGGGUGAUAAUGAUGAGGUGUGAAGUUAAUGUCCCUUAAUGUAAAGAAGAGUGCAUUGGUGGCCGAAGGAUGCCCUGGGGUUGUGUACCAUGGUUCGGGGAGUAGGGGAACCCUCACGAGCCUGGAGGGGGUCUCCCCUGGGACAAUAGAGAGGUCAGGAAAGGUGGGGAGAGCUGGCCAAUGUCCUUUGGGUUCUAGAUUCCUUAAGUUCCCAGAGGGGUCUUGUGAGGCCAGAGACAGUCCAUGAUGCAGUAGAAAGUACCGGAUGGAGAUUCUUGGCCCAGGCUCUGGUAUAGCUCUCUUCUAGUGUCAGGUGGCAUCGGCCAGUCCCUUUUCUGAGGGGGACGGGAGAAGGGAGCCCCUCCCACAGGUGCCUUCCCAGGCGUCUCCUGUCCCAUUCCUGUGAGACUUUCCCCAGGCCACCUCUGAAGGCCUUUCGUCACCCUGUUGUCGGUGCUCAGAAGCCCUGCCUCACCCUCACCUGGCUGCUUGGGCAAGUCUGCCACCGUCCCUGGCUUCAAGGUCCUUCGUUUUAAAAGGGAGCGAUUAUUUGUUCCUCCAUGCAGUGCACUUGGCAGUGGGUGCCAGGGGAGAACAUGGAAGAAGUACUUUCAUUUCCUCAGGUCUGAGGAUGCAGAGGAAGCUCCAUGGAGAGCCAAUAUUAAGUAAUAAUUCAAGCCUAAGCGGUCAGGAUCCAGGGUGUGGGGAGUGUGGCCGCCUGCUGUCCCCGUUUUCCUUCUCGCACGUCUCCGGCCCAUCCGCUGAGGCCUGACACCGUUGAAGGAGACCAGCAGGCCGGCGGGGGGGGGGGGGGCAUGUCCACAACACCCCACAACUUCCCCUGCCACAGCCACCCCCAGGUCAUCUCUCCCCGGGCUUGCAGGCAGGCAGGGUGGGAUGUGCCUCUCGUUGGUUCAUGAAGGCAUGCAGGAAGAGUGUUUAAAAAGCGCUGAAUCGGGGCGCCUGGGUGGCUCAGUUGGUUAAGCGUCCAACUUAAGCUCAGGUGAUGAUCUCACGGUUCGUGAGUUCGAGCCCCGCGUCAGGCUCCGUGCUGACAGCUCGGAGCCUGGAGCCCACUUCGGAUUCUGUGUCUCCCUCUCUCUCUGCCCCUUCCCAUUCACUCUUUUUCUCUCCUCUCUCUCAAGAAUAAAUACACAUUAGAAAAAAAAAAAAAAAAAGCACUGAAUCAAUCUGUACAAAGAGCUGGAUCUUUGUUGACAAUGGAUCAAGUUGGUCUCUUAAAUAUUCUUAGUUCUUCCUCCCAAUGGCUGCAACAGUGCCCUCCUCCAGCCCUCUGAGCCCUUGCCACGUGCCUUGAGGAACUUGUAUUACUCUGGUUUUUGUCACAGUAUUUGUGUACGUGCCUUUGCCCCUCUCCCUCUAAUCCCUAGCUGCCUACAUAGGCCAUAUGUGUUAUUUAUCUUCAUAUUGUCAGCAUCUAACUUGGAGCCUGGCACCCGGGGGGUACUGGGUACCCAGUUGAGUAGAUACCACUUUGAGAUAAUAGACUCCAGCAACACAUCAUCUCAACGUGUUCUCAAUUUUCCCCUCAGUCUUUUAUUAUUAUGUGGUUUAUUAUUAUUAUAUUUCUACUAUGAUAUAUUACUAUCUAUAAUACUAUAUAUUACUACCAUAUUAUUCAUAAUAUAUUACUAAUAUUCUGUAUUGUUGCUAUAGGCAAAGGUACUGAUAGAAGUCUGAUGUAUAUAAAAAGGAAAUAAACAUGACUCGGAUGAUACCUAUCGCUCUCUCCUUUUCAUCCUCUCUCUGCUCCUGUCUCCCUUUCUUCCACUGGACCUUUGCAUGUGCUGUCCUGCUUCCUUUUACUACUCCUCCUUCAACUUACCCUUCAGAGCCCAGCCCACAUGUCACCCACUUCCCUGAUCUCCAGGAGACUGAACACAUCUCCCUGGAAUUUUUAGAUCAUCUGCUACAGGACACAGAAUUAUGUCCCUUUCUGUGUCUGUCUCUUCCACUGAAGGCAGGGCCCGAGUUCCUUCCUAUGACUGGCAUCUAUACACGUGCAUUCAUUCACACAUUCAACAAAUGCUCUUUGAGUGCCGACCAUGUGCCAGGCACAGGCGUUACAUUAAUAAAUAAACUAUCCUUGUGGUAGCCAACCUUCAAGAUGGCCCUAACGAUACUCUUCUCCUGGUAUUCAUGCCCUUAUAUGGCUUCCUCCCACCCAAAUGGAUAUUGGACUAUGUGACCCAUGGAUUAUGGCAAUAGGAAGGGUAUGUGAUGUCAGUGUUCUAUGAGAUUCGAUCAUAAAGGCAUUGUCAGCUUCCCCCAUGGUCUCUUGGAUUGCUUGCUCUAGGGGGCAGCCAGCUGUCAUAUCAGGAAGACAGUCAAGGUAGUCCCAACAAAUGUCCAAGAAGAUAGGAACCAAGUAGGCAACAACUGUCAGCCAUAUGAGAAAACUGAAGGCCGGAAAAGUUACACGGCACAGCCGAUGUCACACAGCUGGUCUUUGGCUCACCUAGCGUGGAACCCAGGCUACCCAGACUCCAAAGGCAGUGCCCUCUGCAGGACCUCAGGCUGCCCAUUUUGGAUUUCCCUUUUAGUCCUCACCCCGGGGGCUCAGCCUUCAGCACAGCCAGGACUCAUCAUUGGCUCAGAAUACAUUGCUGGAAGGAGGGUAGGGAAAUGAUCCGUAGACAGGAUUGCCAAAGGCUGGCAGGGGGCCUUGACCAUCUCUUUCUCUAACUCUGGAAAAUAUCUCAGUUGCUACAGAUCUACCCAACGGCUGGGAAUAGCCUCCCAGUCCCCUAACCCUUAGUUGCUCUAGUUGUCUAUAGACAGUGACGUCCACGCUCACAAGCUCCUUCCCAAUCACGUCCCUGUCUGCCUUUCUAUGGCCACUUCAUCUGCUCUGCACGGACGGAGGAACUUUCUGCCAAGUUCAUACCGUCUGUUCCCCCGCAUCUAUCCUAACACCCCGGUGCCUCUUGCCCCUAGUCAUUUUCUAUUUAUUUGUUUGUUUUCUUUCUUUCCUUGUGCCAAGACCACUAGAUGGAGGUAUACUAAAACUUACUGGACACUUA